rnacentral:rRNA from 1 species
CGUGUCGUGAGAUGUUGGGUUAAGUCCCGCAACGAGCGCAACCCUUGAGAUUAGUUGCCAUCAUUCAGUUGGGCACUCUAAGGUGACUGCCGGUGACAAACCGGAGGAAGGUGGGGAUGACGUCAAAUCAUCAUGCCCCUUAUGACCUGGGCUACACACGUGCUACAAUGGAUGGUACAAAGGGCUGCGAGACCGCGAGGUUAAGCCAAUCCCAGAAAACCAUUCCCAGUUCGGAUUGCAGGCUGCAACCCGCCUGCAUAAAGCCGGAAUCGCUAGUAAUCGCGGGUCAGCAUGCCGCGGUGAAUACGUUCCCGGGCCUUGUACACACCGCCCGUCACACCACGAGAGUUUGUAACACCCGAAGUCGGUGAGGUAACCUUUUGGAGCCAGCCGCCGAAGGUGGGACAGAUGAUUGGGGU